rnacentral:lncRNA from 1 species
UACGUAUCAGUUGAUGUGAGAGUAGGUACUUAAACAUCUCUAUAUUGUAUAUCGACAGCGUAAGUCCGCAAUCACAUAUCUCGUUUGCGGUGUCUGAAAAUCUCCACCUCUAUAUUAUUUUUUUGAACAAGAACAAAUUGACAUCAUUCCUUGAAGUUUAUGCAGAAUUUUCUUUGAGCAGAGAAGAAAAAUCACAGCAGUUUUAAAGAAUUACCGCUGAAUAAUUUUUCGUUUAAAAAAUAAAGUAUGACAGAAAGUCUGUGACGUCGCAAACCGAGUUAUGUGAUUGCCAACUUACACUUUGAAUAUCUUUGAAAGAUUUUAGGAAAUUGGGCCCAUCAGAUGACUCCCCUAUUCACAAUUGGGGCUACUUUUACUGCAGGGAGAACAUAGGAUAUCUUCAGGCACUAAAUAAACAGCCAAUAAUGGCUGAAUUAAAAGCUGAAGGUUACCUCCGUAUCUGUAGUGAGGCUAGGAGGAGUGGGAUGAAUAUUGUUCAAGAAACCUACGAAGAAUAAGGUUCUUAUGACAUAAAAUAAUUUGUUUAUCUACUCUAAGCCUAUGAUAAGUGGAAAGUGGGUACUACUUUGAUGAACUACGCUACGAACAGAUGCAAGAGCUAAGCUAACUUGGGAGAAACCAAAGGGUUAUUUGGAAAAUAUGAAAUUAGGAAAGGAGAAGCCUGUAGUUCUGUUGGUCCUACCUUCGGUUGAGUCCUCUAAAGACGUCUAAAACUUUAAGUAAUCGUGACAGACUGACAGAAGUGACAGAAAUGACGACUGGUUAGUAGGUAUUCGUUUCGUUGCCGUUCGCUUGUUCGCUUCGUACACAACACAACAGAAAAAUUUUUGAUCUGACAUUUUGGCGGUUAAACACUAUCACAUGUUUGUUGACUUCCACAUGUAGAACGAUCAUCGUUUUCAAUAUCAACAAUGAGGAGUGAUGACGAUUCGAGACUCAUCGGAAAUUCGCUUGCUCGUUGAUCCAUGGUUGAUGUUGAUCCUGUCGAGGACCCAGUUAUCAGUAAAUUGUGUGGAAAAAUUUCCGGAGAACUUUCCAUUGUCUAAGUACUUUUUUCAAAUCUUUUCACAUUUUCUUCGAAAUAUGUAUUCCAUACUAAAAACCGUCUCCAAAGUUAACAGCGUUGCCUCCGUCGCACGAAGAGCGACUGGAGUCAGAACUCACAUCAUUUCUGGACCACCGACAAGGCCAAUCCCCAAACCAAUAAGAGCUGUCAUUGGUGGCAUCCUGUUUGUGGGCUGCCUGGGUACUCCAGCCUGGAUCUCAUACCAUAUUCCACUGUACUCUAAAAAGUAAAGUUAAAUGCUGUUCGUAUUUUCUAAUUAUUUUGUCACUAGUUUGAAGAGUCUUCGCUCUUUUUAUUAUCUCUUGCAUUAAGUCAGUAAAUUUAUUACACCCAGCUAAAAUUGUUCGAUUACUUUUUAAUUUCAACAAUUGUUUUUGAACUUACCAACCUGUAUAUGUUGUGAGCUUCAUAAAUGUAUCUUGUUAAUAGGUCUGUCUUCUUUUUUUCUACUACCCUCACAUUUAUGCAUUAAAAUAUUGUAUCACAACUAUAGACACAAUAUUAUUUUAGCUGUUACCUACCUAUUUUUUAUUCUGGAACUUCAUUUCUUGAAUCUAGUAAUAACUCCUACUUCACUAAAAAAAAAAAAAAAAAAAAAAAAGGUUUAUACAUUUAAAACAGUAUACUUGGAUUGUCCCCCCCCCCCAAUUUCUAAGUGUCAUUAUGUUUCAAGUCAAAAUCCCUUUUAGCAGACGAUAUACUGAACAAAAGACACUUUUGAGGGAAGAUGAAUUUCAUGAGAAGAAAAAGGGACUACCUAAAUACUACCCAGUCAGUCCUAUUCCUAAAUGUUUCCAGUUUAAAUUCUAUUUCCUUCCCCCUUUUUUUUCAAAUUUGAUUAUCGCCUCAUAAUUUGCAUCAAAUUCAGUAUAUUUAAGCAUGUCGACGGUGUAAGUCUGCAACCACGUAUCUCGUUUGCGGUGUUUGAAAAUCCCCGAUCCUAUUAUAUUUUUUUAAGAGGGAAGAAAUCAACAUCAUUCCUUGAAGUUUUUGCAGAAUAUUCUUCACACAGAGGAGAAAAAUCCUGGCAGGUUUUCAGAAUUUAUGUUGAGUAUCUAGUUUUCCAUUUAUAAAAUAUAAUAUGACAAGAAGUCUGCCA